CCGCAAGGGGUGCAGGGCGCGCGGCGUCGCCGAUGCGGAGCCGCCGGUGAAAUACCACUACUCUUACCGUUCCUUUACUAACCCGGUGAGACGGGAAGUGCGGGCCCCCUGGUCGGGGGGUCCCGCGUUUCUGGUGCGAAGCCCAGGGGUCGGCCGUGCGAGGCGCGCGUCUUAACGGGCGCGCGUCACGUCGGAGAGCGACCCGGGCGACCCGCUCCGGGGACAGUUCCGGGCGGGGAGUUUGACUGGGGCGGUACGCCUGUCAAACGGUAACGCAGGUGUCCUAAGGCGAGCUCAGGGAGGACGGAAACCUCCCGUGGAGCAGAAGGGCGAAAGCUCGCUUGAUCUUGAUUUUCAGUACGAAUACAGACCGUGAAAGCGUGGCCUCGCGAUCCUUUUGACUUUUUGGGUUUUAAGCAAGAGGUGUCAGAAAAGUUACCACAGGGAUAACUGG
rnacentral:rRNA from 1 species